GAUGAACGCUGGCGGCGUGCCUAAUACAUGCAAGUCGAGCGAACAGAUGAGAAGCUUGCUUCUCUGAUGUUAGCGGCGGACGGGUGAGUAACACGUGGGUAACCUACCUAUAAGACUGGGAUAACUCCGGGAAACCGGGGCUAAUACCGGAUAAUAUUUUGAACCGCAUGGUUCAAUAGUGAAAGACGGUUUCGGCUGUCACUUAUAGAUGGACCCGCGCCGUAUUAGCUAGUUGGUAAGGUAACGGCCUACCAAGGCGACGAUACGUAGCCGACCUGAGAUGGUGCUCGGCCACACUGGAACUGAGACACGGUCCAGACUCCUACGGGAGGCAGCAGUAGGGAAUCUUCCGCAAUGGGCGAAAGCCUGACGGAGCAACGCCGCGUGAGUGAUGAAGGUCUUCGGAUCGUAAAACUCUGUUGUUAGGGAAGAACAAAUUUGUUAGUAACUGAACAAGUCUUGACGGUACCUAACCAGAAAGCCACGGCUAACUACGUGCCAGCAGCCGCCGCCG
rnacentral:rRNA from 1 species